CACAGAGUUAGCCGGUGCUUCCUUUGAGGGUACCGUCACUGCUCGCGAUUGUUUACCGCGAACGCUUUCGUCCCCCCUGACAGCGGUUUACACCCCGAAGGGCUUCCUCCCGCACGCGGCGUCGCUGGGUCAGCCUUUCGGCCAUUGCCCAAAAUUCCCCACUGCUGCCUCCCGUAGGAGUCUGGACCGUGUCUCAGUUCCAAUGUGCGGGGUCGUCCUCUCAGACCCCGUAGCCGUCGCCGCCUUGGUGAGCCGUUACCUCACCAACUAGCUGAUAGCCCGCGAGCUCCUCCCUGCGCCGUAGCAUUGUAAAGAGGCCACGUUUCCUAAAAGACCCAGCAGGAUCUCUUAACCAUGCGGUAUUAGCCCAAGUUUCCCUGGGUUAUCCCCCGCACAGGGGUAGAUUGCUCACGUGUUACUCACCCGUCCGCCACUCGACUCGUGUCCCGAAGGACCCGGCCUCGUUCGACUUGCAUGUGUUAGGCACGCCGCCAGCGUUCGUCCUGAGCCAGGAUCAAACUCU
rnacentral:rRNA from 1 species